UCUCCGUAGGUGAACCUGCGGAGGGAUCAUUACAGAGUUCAUGCCCUACCGGGUAGAUCUCCCACCCUAUGUUAUUAUUACUUUGUUGCUUUGGCGGGCCGUUAGGCUCCGGCCCCACCACCGGCCCCGGCUGGUAAGCGCCCGCCAGAGGACCCAAAACCCUGAAUAUUAGUGUCGUCUGAGUACUAUAUAAUAGUUAAAACUUUCAACAACGGAUCUCAUGGUUCUG
rnacentral:misc_RNA from 1 species